rnacentral:ncRNA from 3 species
UGUUCAUCAAGAGCUGGCUGAGGGAAUGGCCCGAUGACGCUGCGGCAACCAUCGCAAUUUGCGAACGGUGCCAAUUCCACAGGAUACUUUCCUGGCAGAUGAAGA